UACGGAGGAUGCAAGCGUUAUCCGGAUUUAUUGGGCUUAAAGGGUGCGCAGGUUGUUUGAUAAGUCAGUGGUGAAAGUCUGUCGCUUAACGGUAGGAUUGCCAUUGAUACUGUUGGACUUGAAUAUGGAUGAGGUAGGCGGAAUGUGUAGUGUAGCGGUGAAAUGCAUAGAUAUUACACAGAACACCGAUUGCGAAGGCAGCUUACUAAUCCAUCAAUUGACGGCUGAGGCACGAAAGCGUGGGGAUCAAA
rnacentral:rRNA from 1 species